UCACUUGGACGGCACCUAGAAUCCUAAAACGGAAACCACCCAGAGAAGACCAGCGUGGCUUCUGCACGAGGAGAACACACAGAUUUCUGAAGCAUUCCAUCUAUUU
rnacentral:snRNA from 1 species